UUCCACCCACGUAGCGGUAAAUCCGGUCGGUAUCACUUCCUCAACCCCAGACGCUCUGGGCUAGUUAGUCUAAGAACUGAUCUGAGUUCUUGCCUUGAUCUCUUUUGACUUUGAAAAUAGUAUGCGUCACGUCUAGCUCCAGGUUCCGAUUCCGAGUAAACUAGGUAUCGAUCCCCUCAACAGGCUGAUCUUGAUCAACUUCUUCAGCCACAACCGUAGCCUCAACAGCUCAAUCUGGUGCCGACCUACGGCAAGGUGAAAAGUGGUCCUUUUCUAAUCUUCCUUAUCAAUGAUCUUUGCUCCUCCAUAAUAGUACUUUGUCUUUUGUAACCACAGGUUAAAUAUGGUAGAUUUCAGACUACUCCUUACGGAUUACAUAUUAACCUGCGUAGGAGGACGGAAUAAAAAGAUGAAAGGAAGUCAAUGCCCACGGAGCGGGGAAAGCCUACCAUAAAUCGAAAGCAGGAACAUAAAGUUUCAGUUCCAUAAGGAAGUCCGCCUUUUUUUACAAGGGUGGUCUCGAAACCUCUUUCUCGCUAAAUACCUCUCCCAUUCAUACCUCGGUUACUCAACAUUAAUAGUGAGCGCUGACUCUUCCCUAUCGGGUAAGCCGUUGAGAUCCGGAACGAUUGAUCGUACUUAUGAAACUGAGACUGCUUUAUCUUCUGAAUACUAUCUCAUGAAAGAGAGAAAGGGAAUAAGAAUGCCCUCAACACUCCUCUCCCGAGACAGAUCGGGAACCGAGUUCUUUAUCCUCUUUUCUGGUAUGAAAUUACUAGAUUUUAGUCGAGAUAUUCCACCCUAGUCAAUCCGCACUCGCCUUCCUUCUAAGGAUCGAAGAGGAACUCUUCCUCAUACGAACUUGUCGCUGACUCUGGUCUUUUUCCCUCUUUUUCUAGAACCUACUAUUUAGAUUAGAAGAAAGCCUAUCUUUAGAUAUUAUGUCUCUGAUCUGACUCGUUCUUCUAUAAUACCGGUAUUUCUCCGCACCAAAAUAGGGAAACUCAUAAGCUCAUUGGUCAGGCCGCAUGUUCAAAGCAUAUUCUAACCUCGUAUGAGAAUUGGUAAUCUUUCUUCUUUGAAGCUAGUGUAAGCUAGUGCAAAGAUAGUUCAUUAUUCUAAUAAUCAGAUCUAACCUAUCCCCUAUCCUUUACAGUACAGUCUCUACUUCUUCCGAUCCGAUACGGUCUCGCUCAAUUAAUCUUCGCCUUACUUGAAAAGCGUGAUAACAGGGUUGGCUUUCAAAGAGAUAGACUUGGAUUACUUGCUCAGUUCCUCAAUCAAAUUUCUCAUUUGACUUCUUCUCCGUCCUACGUCCGCAGUCCGGAGUCCGGAGUCCGCAG
rnacentral:lncRNA from 1 species